GACGAACGCUGGCGGCGUGCUUAACACAUGCAAGUCGAGCGGAAAGGCCACUUCGGUGGUACUCGAGCGGCGAACGGGUGAGUAACACGUGAGUAAUCUGCCCUUGGCUUUGGGAUAGCCACCGGAAACGGUGAUUAAUACCGGAUAUGCACUACUUGACGCAUGUUUUGUGGUGGAAAGUUUUUCGGCCAGGGAUGUGCUCGCGGCCUAUCAGCUUGAUGGUGAGGUAAUGGCUCACCAUGGCUUCGACGGGUAGCCGGCCUGUGAGGGUGGCCGGUCGCACGGGGGAUGAGACACGGCCCAGACUCCUACGGGAGGCAGCAGUGGGGAAUAUUGGACAAUGGGCGGCAGCCUGAUCCAGCAACGCCGCGUGAGGGAUGACGGCCUUCGGGUUGUAAACCUCUUUCAGCAGGGACGAAGCGCAAGUGACGGUACCUGCAGAAGAAGCACCGGCCAACUACGUGCCAGCCGCCGCCGCAGUAA
rnacentral:rRNA from 1 species